rnacentral:rRNA from 1 species
UACGAAGGGAGCUAGCGUUGUUCGGAAUCACUGGGCGUAAAGCGCACGUAGGCGGAUGUGUCAGUCAGGGGUGAAAUCCCGGAGCUCAACUUCGGAACUGCCUUUGAUACAGCACGUCUUGAGUCCGAUAGAGGUGGGUGGAAUUCCUAGUGUAGAGGUGAAAUGCGCAGAUAUCGGGAGGAACACCAAUGGCGAAGGCAGCUCGCUGGG